CUCCCCCGGCCCCGCCUCUCCCCGCUCCCCGCCCGAGGCUCAGACCCGCUGGGGGCGGGCGGCUGCUGGGCCUCCCGGCUCUCGCCUUCCCUCCUCGCUCCAGAAAGGCUCGGCCGAGCCGGGAGCCGCUCUCAGGCGCUGCCGGGGCCGCCGUGGCUCCCGCCGUGUUUCCCCGGAGCCUUUUGUGUUUUUGCGAGCUCCGCGCUAGAGAAACGGGAGUGGAAUUGUAAUGAUUUGAACUCAGGCAAAUGAUUAAAGAGAAACUGGUGCACUUGUGGAAGCCCCUUCUGCUUUGUUGUGAAGCAACAGAGAGAAAGAUGAUUCCAUAUAGAUGAAUGGAGUAUCUGAAGCCUGGAUCCUGACUCUUCUUGCAGUUCACUGUGAUGAUAAAAAGGCAACACGAAUCUCUCCCAGCAAGUUACCACUUGCUGUCCCCUGCUAGAAGGUCUCCGUGGAAGGAUGAUAAGGAGGAGUGUAGCUGGAGAAUGGCUGCUACUCUAGACUUCAUAGCAUGUGUGAAGAAUAUCCUUAUGGAUAUUCCUGAGAGGCACAACUGAGAUGGUACUCUAGAUUGAACGCUUACAAGGCCAAAUGACACCUCCGAACUGUGCUUUGCAUUUCAUGAAUACACAAGUUUUGGUUAUACAAGUAGAAAAGCUGACCAGAAGUGAGAGGUAUACAUCUGCCCUGCACCAAGGGUUUCUGAUGCAGCUUUGCAUUUCUGAGGCUACCAGACAGAUUCCCGGAGUGUUCAAAUCCACUCUACAACAUUUCUCAGCAGUUGCCCUGCUUGAUAUAUGUCAACUAUCAUCUAUAGGUGUCUUCAUAAAAUAGAGCAGCAAGGUGAAAAAGAGUACACCUGAAUUUCAGGACCUCACGUGCUCAACCACAGUGAGUCAAUGGAGUAUGUACCAUCAGGACAGUAUGCAGUGUGGAUGGAACCUGAUCCACCUGAACAGGCUGCCUGUGGGCAUGUGGGCUUGCAAGACCUCUGCUGUCACUGGUGGGUUUGUCUGGGAUCUGCCAGGCUGCUGCAUAGGAGUGAUGCAGACAUAACCCACACACUCACGCCAGUCUAAGCAGACCAUCAAGCUAUCAGAAAAGCUUCAUUUUAGACUUCCUAGGUAAAGAACCUGCAUUUGUUGAGGUGUGAAUUUACUGGUUUUAGUUUAUUAAAAAGACCUCUUCUAAAUGUAUGGGGGAGACAAAAGCCUUUUAUUUUACAAACAUUAGAAAGAAGAAAGCACAGCCAUUUUACACAAAAGCUAAAAAAAAAAAAUAACAAAGGAAAAUAGACUUCCUAAUCAGGUGAGUCACUUAAUGCUAAAGAACAUAUAAUGAAAUCAAUUGAAAUAAUUCCAGCAUCUAAUGAAUUAUUCAUUGGUUUGUUGGUUAUUUUCAUAGGUCUCCUUAGAGCUUUAGUAGUUAGUCUAGUUUUGCUGCUAGAUAUUUGUUGCUUAUAGCAACAAAUCGGAAGAAAUGAAGAGAGGAAGGUCAGUAAAACACUACAGAUGUAGGCUCUGCCCGACUGCUCCCACUGCUAUCAGCCGGCAAGGAACAGACCAGUGUAUAGGGGACCCUCUACACCACCACAGAUCCUAGCUUUCUGGAUCUUUCCCCAUCCUACUUCUCUUUCUAGGUUCUGUUUCUCCUCUGCUUUCCAUAACAGAUGCAGUCAUGGGCCUGUCAUGGUUCCCCAAAACUCAUCUGUGCCUCCAAUUCUGAGAGGCUUUGAGACACCUUGGAUAUAAGUAGUAGUAUAGGCCCAGGUCCACAAAUGGACUUUGGUGUUGCCAUGUUUAACUUUUUCCUAGUUGACUCACAGCCAAAUUCAGGACUCGAAAGCCCUACGAAUACUCAAAUGCUUUGGACACUUCAGUAGUGACAUGAGCUCAGAGGAACCUUAGGCUACCGAAGGAGGAGCCAGCUAAGCUUGGCAGGAAGAAACACUGAGGAUUGGGAAGCCUUAACUCCCAGGGCUGUAUGGGGCUUUGUCUGAUCUUGCCUGUUGGAUGAACUAUCAAGUGAUACUGUCCAGUACAUGGCCAAGGUCGUACCAUUCUACUCUUUGCUCUUCUGAAACUGAACAAAGCCAGCCACUCACAGAUACAGUUUCCCUCAAGCUGCCAGGCAUAAUCCAGACUUUACCUGCCUAGUGGUACGUAUUAAUUACAUCCCGGUGAUCUAGUGAUAUAUAAUACAGCAUUUAGGGUAUUGGCAUCAUCUGAUUAGUCUAUGUGUUCUGAGUAUUAAACAUUGCAGAAGAGAAGUGCCUGAAAUUUUCAUGCAGUCAUAGGACUGCUGCUACCUUUACAAGCUACACUGGAAUAUUCACGGCAUUUAUAAUUUUAAAUGGAUUUGAUGUUGCAAGCUAUAAUAAUAAACAACUUGCUGUGAGCUUUUUGUAAUCUUUAAAUUGGAAGCAAAACUGUUUCGAUUUGAAAAUUGUCUAGUAGUUUCACGUUUCCUUGAUUUUCCUAAUAAGUAUAUAUAUAAAGUUAUGGAGCAAACAAUUAUGGUUAGAUUUUGCUUCAUAAAAGUCCUUGCUAGCAGUACCUCACAACUGUUGUUUUUUUAUUGGCUGCUCUUUAUGCUAAGAACUUGAAUACUGGCUUCUUCGAUCCUGAACGAAAUGUAAGGGUCAGAGAUAACAGAGUCAAAAUACAUCGAAACAUACUACAUAGUUGUCACAGUCAGAAUAGGUGUAGAAGUUAAGGGAAUGAAAUGAGCUUGUGAUCCCGUAUGUGGCACACUUGCAUCUAUGUGAGAUCAUGUCUCUGAUCCUUCUGGCUUGUCUCACCCACUUUACCUGCCUCAUUCAGUGGGCUGUGACCUUGCCUGUCUCCCACAGCCCCCUUGCUGCUGGGCUGUGUUGGCUGCAGCAUUCAAACUGGGGGAAAAGCACUCUCAAAAACAGUCCACCCUGCUGCACUUUAACAUUCAACAUUUUUGUUGUUGAACUCUUUUAAAAUACAGAUCACACCAUACCUCUCCCAUUUUACAUUUUACUUUUGCACUGAAGAAUCUGCUUCUGUGUUCUAAUGCCUGCAUUGGCAGGAGCGGUGGGCUAGGCAGCAUUAAAAAAGGGCUACACGUUUGCACGCAUAGUGAAAACAUAUUGUAGCAUUAGAAGUUAUGUAUGAUAAACACAAACCAUUGUGCUUAAGGGCAGACAUGAUAAGGAUAGGAAGACUUUUAUCCUGUGGGUUUAUUAUCACUGGCAGAGAUUUCUUCCCCAGUUUUCUGAACCAUGUUUUUGAUGAUUGUUGGAAGGAAAAAAGGUUUAGAUCAAACACAGGUUCAAACUGGUUACAGCAUUGCAAUUCCCCUGUUCCUAGGGUCUCUAACCCCCAAAGGUAACAAUCAAAUAAAUAAAUAGUGGUUUACGUUAAAAGAUAUUUAAUAAUCAGAACUGACUCUUAAAUAAUGAUUAUUACAGGUAUAAUACGUAUUUUGCAUUUCAAUGUAUUUUUUUUCCUAACUCUUUCAGACCCUUCUCAAAUAUAUAUAUAUCUGAAUGAGAAUUAGUGGUGACAGAUUUAUUGACAAAGAGGGUGCUGCAGGAGCUCUGACCAAUGCUCAGCAAUUACUUCUGCACAUCCAAUCUCCAAACAAUCCAAUUUACCCGUCAGCUCCUAAAUCAGUUCUCCCAUCAGCCUUUUACAGUUUCCCAGUAUCAAUGUAUCUGCUGUUUCCUCCUCUUUGCAGGGAGCCUGCAGGUACAGCCAAUAAGUUUUGCCUGAUUCUGGAUGGAAGGAUCGAUAGAUACACAAAUUAUUUUCAUUUCUUGACCAUUUCAGUAUUUUUCCAAAAUGAAAGUUUUCAGAAUUGUCUUUUUGUCUGUUUCUAAUAGUUCUUUAUUCCCAAACAAAAAGGGACUCUUCUCCAGUGACAGAUGGAUGUACAAGGGGAAAGGGGUAGCGACAUGCUACACCACUUAGACUCACACAAGCCUACGGGGCCCGACGGGAUCAACCCAAGGGUACUGAGGGAGCUGGUGUAAGUGCUCAUCAAGGCAGUUUCCAUCAAGGCAGUUUCCAUCAUUUACAAAGCAUACGAAUGGAUAAUGCUAAUAAAGGUUCUGCCUACCUCCUGGGUGGUUAGAAGCGGAUUAACAGCAUUGCUAAGGAUGCACAUGUACUGCAUGGAGAAUGACAUUGAAUAAAAGAGUAUCUCAUGGACACUGUGGCUUCCCCAUGAAAAAAAUGGGAGAUCAGACUCUGUUAUAGCUCUUUGAUUUCUAUGCAAAAUUUGUUGAGUUUUUACAGUAAGAUUUUAGCCUUCGAAUUUUACAAUAUUCUGCAAAAGAAAAGCUGCAGUCAAAUGUUGCAACACUUGCAGAGUAAAUUACUUAAAAUCCAGACACCAGGUGUGCACUAGUGGGCAAGUGUGAAUAAACCUUAUUAGAAGUUGUGGGCACAAGCACAGCAGAAACUCAGCAUCAAGCACGGCUUUGGUUCUACAAUGUCAGAUGACAAGACAAUUAAGUUAAUUAAUUAAUACAAGCCUUUCUGAGCUGUUAUGCUGGUUCUUCCGGUCGGCCUAGGUGAGUACCCUUUACUUUGGCAUUGCUUGGACGUUGAAAUGCUGAAACUAGCAUUUAAGCCAGCUUUAAUAUUAAAUGCAUUUAUAUACCUACACAUGCGUGCAUGCACAAGCAUACUGCAUGCACAUAUAUUUUAUACAGUAGGUACGCUUUGCUGAUUUCAAGGAAUAAAAGACCUAUCCAGCUCUCAAAAGAAAACUCCACUAUGGAGGACCUUGGCUAUUGCUUUCUGCUUCCCUCAUUGUGAUUGUAUUAUUCCAUAUAGAAUUAUGAAGUGUUAAAUUCAAGGUAGAGCUAAUGGCAUAGACACAAAAAGGCAGAGAGCUUGAGAAGGCUCACCCUCACCAUCGCCUAAAACCAGCUUUACUGGAAGGUCACUGAGUGUCACAUUGUGUGUCCCAUCAAUGCUGCCUCACAGCAUGGCACAAAACUGAAGGUGGAAGCAAGUGGGUUGGGUUUACAGAAGUGUCAUUCUCUGAAGACAGGGCAGAGAGAAGACAAGACCCAUAACGUCUGUCUUCUCCAGGGGCUGGCGACACUGGGAGAAGGGCCCUGCCCCAAAUGGGUGUGUAAGGGCAGCGUGUGGGCAAAUGUCCUGCUGUGUGACUUUCUUUUAGUGUGUUUUUUCCCCUGAGUUUGAGAUGUGGUCGUGGCCUCUUCCUUAAUUGAUGAAAAUCUUCCAGAAGAAAUGUGCAGGGGACAGAAUGUACCUGGACUGGCUUGUGGUGUGCAUGCUACAGACAGAGCUCUGAGCUCCAGUGUAAGAGUAGGGCAAUAAUGGGUUUCUGCCUAGGGAAGGGAGAAACUCAGGGGCUAACACUGCUGGGACCGCACUUGUGAAAAUCUGGUGAGGGGUGGGAAGACAGUCCUGAGGCAGCAACAGUAAGGCUUUUUUAAACACCCUACAACCACAAAAUCCCCCAAACCCUUUAAAAAACAAUGCUUGUAAUAGGAUCCCUUUGAAAUAAUUUCUUCUGGCUUUGAUGCUCAACAUCUCUUGCAGCAGGACUAGCCAUUCCUUUGAAAGUAAGAUCCCUCAUCCCAUAGCAGCAUUUCAAGCAGUGUUUCCUACCUUUAUCAUAUAAAACUGGGCCAUUCCUCAGCUCAGUUUAUCCAGGAGUCCGUACCUCCAGUCACAUGAACACAGAAUCCUCUGUACAAUUAUAAAAAUAAACUGUAAACAAGUAUUUAAUUUGUACCUCCCUGUUGUCAUCACAUUUUCCUUCCCCAUGGCUGCCAGUUUCCAAGGCAGAAGAAGAUAUUUAAUGAUCAAACAUACUAAUUUGCACUGUUUAUUCCUAGAAGAACAGCACAUCAAUUAAACAAGAAGUACUUCACUUGAGUGGUAAUUGACCAGAUGCCACAUUUUGCAAGCAAAUAACCUGCGGAUAACAGAGGAUUGGUGCUAAAAAGAACUAGAUAUCCUUUCUGUUAUUAUUGUCAAAUAGAAGACAGUACCUGGUGUCAGUUUACCAGCUGGAAUUAGAGAGUAAUGUGAAAAAAUUCUCCUCUAGUUUGAGCCACACUUGGCUGGUGGCUACUCAUCUACCCAGAGCUCCAAUUCCAAAUGGUCUGCAGCCUGGAAGUGGAAGUAUCAGACAUAGAUCAUAAAAAUAUCAUGAUACCAUGAAAAUAGCCUAUGUGUAUAUAUCUAUCUUCUAUCUUGAUACAGGAUAUUACAGUAUAGAUAUCAUAUCUGUGAGGGAGGUUAGCAGUGAACCUGCCAGCUUACAUUUGUCUGUAAGCAGAGGAACAGGAAAAGAACAAUAAUUGAGUUGCUCUUAUUUUUGUCAACUUUUGAAACAAUUAGUAGUUAAAAUUCUUUUAACUUUAUUUUAAUCUAAAACCAAGGUCCUAUUGACAAGGCAACAGAAAACAGGCACAUUCACACUUGAAGGCAUUACACUGCCAUCAGUGAUGGUGCAUUUUAUUUGAACGGGAAUGUUACAAAGUGAAUUCUACACCAGCUCAGAUGCUGGGCAAGGUCUCUCAAGCCAACAGAGGUGUGUGCGCUUGGGAUCGACAGAACUCCAUGAAACAACUGUUAAUGUUGUCCCAGCUGCCUACUGGUGUUACUGAAGUUAUAGACUGUGUUUAUGAAUAAAUAUUUAUAAACUGUUCUGUACACAGUAUCUAUGAAGAAAUACUUAACCACCAGGUGGCAGAUACUCCAAGAAUUUCAAAUGCUAGAGACCCAACAGCAGCACUGAUUAAAAGAAUAAACCACUUUUACCUGUCACUCAUAUAUUUUGGAAAAGCAAACUGACAUUGUUCUCAUUUGACCAAGUCCAGUGAUGUAUUGGAUUGUUGCAGCCCACUUAUAAUUUAAAAGGUACUGUGUUAUAACAAAUGUUAUCAAGGCCAACUUGAUGAGGCUUUGAGCAAUGGGAUCAAGUGCAAGAUGUCCCUGCCCACGGUAGGGAUCUAGAUGAUCUUUAGGGUCCCUUCUAGCCCAUAUCAUUCUAUGAUUCUUUGAUUCUGUGAUAACAAGCUUUA